GUUUUCUGAAUGUUGAGUUUUAACACAGCUUUUUAACUCUCCUCUUCCAUGAUUCUUAGGCAGGGUGCCACCUUCCUGGUUACUCAGAUGGUAAAGAAUCUGCCUGCAACACUGGAGACCCAGCCUUGACCUCAGAGCCUCAACAUAUCAGAGAACCAGCCAGAGUGAGCCCUCAGGGAGCGUCUCCAUGGUACAUUCAUCCUGGGAGCCCCCUUCACACACAGGACAAGCUUGGUGCAAAUCACAGCAACUGGCUGUUAGCCAUGCUCUUCCUGAACUAGAAAAGUUCUUUUUUCCCUUCUCUCUCCAACUGUCUUCUAUUUAAAUCUUACAUGUGUCCUUACUCUGAUGCCCUCCCCCCCACACC